rnacentral:rRNA from 1 species
UGCCAGCAGCCGCGGUAAUACGGAGGGUGCGAGCGUUGUUCGGAAUUAUUGGGCGUAAAGCGCGUGUAGGCGGUUUCUUAAGUCUGAUGUGAAAGCCCCGGGCUCAACCUGGGAAGUGCAUUGGAUACUGGGAGACUUGAAUACGGGAGAGGGUAGUGGAAUUCCUAGUGUAGGAGUGAAAUCCGUAGAUAUUAGGAGGAGCACCGGUGGCGAAGGCGGCUACCUGGACCGAUAUUGACGCUGAGACGCGAAAGCGUGGGGAGCAAACAGGAUUAGAUACCCUGGUAGUCCACGCCGUAAACGAUGAGUACUAGGUGUUGCGGGUA